CCCAAGCUGGGCUUAAUCCGGUUCUUACAAGGGCAGAAUGUGGGCGUUCGAGUGGCUGCGACACGGAAAUCCCGCUGUCACGAGCAGGACGGUGGCGGCUGGGUAGUUGGAGGAACACUUCCCGUGCGCUGCACAGGCUGACUAGGAGCAGUGGCUGCGGUUCCCUGUCUGAGUUCUGCCUGGGCUUCUGUGCCUUAAUGAAUAAUUUAAAUAGAAGGUCUUGUAGUCUCUAAACUGUGAAAUGAAUGUUGGAGUAAAACGAUCCCUUUGAGUGCAGCCAGCUGAUGUAAGCGCCCUGCACCUUGAAGCCUUUGCAGCGCUGGGUGGUGACGCGCUGGCAUUGGGGCUGUUGACUGUGUGCAGCCGGACCAGCCCCUGCGGACCCACGGCCCGAACCCCCUUUCAGAGGCGUGGAAAGAGGCAUCGGCGGUGCCAGCAGCAGAGGGAGAGCGCAGCUCUGCGGGGCUCCCUGCAGGCUGUUAGCCAGAUGGCCAGAGUUCUUGCUCCCGCUUCCUGAAUGGUGUCUUCAGCUUCAUGAUGUCCUCCUCCCCGAAGCCCUCCACUUGCUGAGUGAAGCGAGCAGGUCCCUGCCUGUGUCCUCAUGCUGUAUGCCCCUCCAAAGGGUCCUAGCGCCUCCUCCACUGAGGAAAAAUAUCCUGGUGGUUCUUUGUUUCAGUACGUUUCUGCCCAUUGAGAAGCAUCUCAGUUCUCCUGCAGCACCACUAAUUCACUGCUCCUCAGGGCACAGACCCUGCUCAGGACCAGUCCUACGCAGCCCAACGGUCCUACACAGCCAAGCUGCUCCCAUCUUCCCUGGGAAACCAACUCACUAAUGGAGCUAGAAUUCAUCAGCUCCCACUCUAAUGAAGUAAACUGAAGAGCAAGUUGAGACUGAAGACUUACCUGCUCUUUGGGUUUUGGGGUUUUUUUGUUUACUUCUAGAAAAAAAAAAACUCAAAGCAAAAGCUUUUGUAUUCCAAGCACUUCCGCAGUCUGGAGAUAAAGGUGCUACAACUUUCUGCAAAAGGUACGCCUGUUACCGCCCGGCAGCUUCCCCUGCAUGACACUGAAUGAGCUUGCCCAACAAGUGUACAUAGAAGAAAAAAAGGGUGGAAUGGCGCCUAAUGAGCCUUAAACCUCUGAUACUCCAUUUAUUAAAAUUUAAUGAUGAGCUAUUAAUAAUGAAUGCAGCCGGGAAGAUGGGAGAACCGCAGUAUAAUGUCCUCGAGAUUUUUAGUUAGCCAGAUUUCUCUGACAGCUGGGGAAGAAGAGGGCAGCUUUCAAGAGGAUGAAAAGGCUCCUCAGAGGGACAGAUGUAAGCAGCGGUCUGCAGCAGCCUCUGCGGGCUGGGAGCACCUUCCCAGGAGACGGCAUCUUUGCCCCUUUCUGAUGCUUGUGAAACAGACCACUAGGAAUGAGUAACACCGGUCAGUAGGUGUAACGUCACAGUACGGACAAGGGAGUUUUCACAUGGCACUGAGAAAUGCUUCCACGGGAUCCAGAGGGUAUCAGGAAGAGCCUGGUGUGGCUCUGGUCAUCUCAAAAAACCCCGUCCCAAUAAACAUCCCUGUUCUGGCUCUCAGAGCAGGGAAUAAGAAGGGGCAGGAUGGAAGACUGAUGGUGGCUUUGCUCCUUGCUUUCCAGGCCAGGUAAAUCCGCAGCGCGUAUCUGAGGCUCUUCUGAGCAGUCACGGGCAGAUGAAGUAGCGCGAGGCCUCUCCCAGCACGGCUCACACAGCCAGCCGCGGCAGGCCUGCGACAGAGCUGCUCUUCAGUACAGCACGAAUGUCUCAGGCGCUGAGAAAUGUCACUUUGAUUUUGACGUACUACUCACAAAGCGUGAUGUGUUUUCUCUUAUGGGUUGCUGUCAAGGUGAGGGAAUGAAUUAGCAUGGAUUUUUAAUUACUUUGCGUUUGAACCCUUGUCGUAAGUUGGAAGGGAAACGCUGUCCUAGAUGAAUAGAGAGGUGGUGCGAGAGCUGAUCCGGCCCCCGGUGAGGAGCCAAGCCCUGCAAGAGGUGGCUGCGGUCCUGUUUCUGUCUCCAGCUGCUUUGAUCCAGUGGCUGGGUUCACACGGAGCCUUCUACCGGGGCGAGCAGGCACCGCUGCCAAGAGGAGACCCGCGCUGCCUGAAGUGCCGGCAGCGCUCCGCCGCCGAGCCUGGGGACAGGCUGCCAUCUGCUGUGGCGCAGAGCGCUUGCGGGGAACGCUCCGAGCUGACUCAAACGGCGGCAGCCACGUUGGAGCUGGGGUGAGCUCAGGGCAGAAGCAAGGUAAGACACGAGAAGAGGAACCGUGUGCUUAAAGGCAUGUCGAUGCUUUCCACGCAGAUCACUCUCCUGAUAACAGCUAUUACCUAUUCCUACAGAAUCAUGCCCGUAGAGGAAAGGAACCAUCCUUGUGGUCUCCACGUGCUUUAACCCCUGGGAUUUCCAGCCGAGGGCAGGGAUGGGCGGGGGGGGACCGAGGCACCGGUCAGAGAGCUGCUGGGGGGGGACCGUGCGCUGCUCCCUCGGCUUAAUCCAGGCACUCAUGUGCUUCCACAGCCUCUCGGCUGUCGAAUUCUAAAGCACACAAAGGUGUGUGCUUUUCCUCUCAGCGCUAUGUGCGUGAUACCGAAGAUAACACCAAGUUAGCUCGACUGCCUGUACGUUACUCGGUUGGGAUUCCUGUGGCCAUACCCUCUACCAGUGGACCUUGCAGCCCAGACCAGAGCAAAGCCGAAAAACAUCUAUCGUUCAGGGCCUUUAUCUCUGAUCUUUAAAAUAAGAUCUGUACUGAACUCCGUGCUAAAACCAGAAUCAAAUUCAUAUCUCUAAAACUCUCUAAGAUCUCAACCCUGCUUGCUUGACACCUUCUUUAGAUACCACCAACUUGGUCUGUUUUUUCCGUACUUUUUUCUGUUUCUCACUCCACAUCAUCACUUGCUUUGAAACUGCACAACCUGACUCACAAGUAGUCUUAGAAACAAGAGAUUUUCGUUUGCCUGAGUUAAAGAAAGAAUUGUUCCAAAAUGAGCAAGUUAGCACAGGAAAAGGUGGGAAUAAAGGACAGGAGGUCCUGAUCCCCUGCUCAUUUUGCAAAAAAAACGAAUUUACUGCAUGGCUGUGGGGUGGCAACUCUAGCAGGCACUUGUUCCUGGAGUUCAAACACCUCCUCUCAUGCGUGCUCAGAUGAAAAGGAUGCACUCAGGAGAAGUCAUUUUUAAAACAGUUGGGUUGCAUAUUGUCUGCCUGCUUGUAGGCAAGUGUAUGGCCCUCUGCCAGACAGUGCCCAGCACACGAAAAUCCAGUAAAGUCAAGAUGUUUUGCUGCUUUUGGGAUAGCAGAAUGGUUGGAAACAGUGAGGUCUGGGAAGGAAAAUGAUUGAUUUUUGGCUGUGUUGUGUUACAGUGGCCAGGAGGUCUAACAUCAAAUAUUGCUGAGGAGAUGGUCAGCUCGAGGUGGUAGGUCCUCAAGCCUAAAUGGUGGAGGCAAACAGAGAGAAGCCAAUAAAAGAGAGGUAAAUAUUAGUCAGCAGUAAAACGGUGUGUGUCAUACUGGUGAAAACUCCCAGGGUGUGAUGUAGACAGAAGAAACAAAUGAGAGAGAGAGAGGGAGGAACUUCUUCGGGAGUAUCUCAAAGGGCAGCAGGACUAGAGAGUCUAUGGGCUGGAAGAGAAGUCUUAACAGACCCAGCAAAGCUGCGGGGCUUGAUAAAGCAUCUUAAUCCCUGGGGAUGAUUUAGGUGCUGUAAAUGCUAUAGGUGAAUUCCAUGUGCAUUGGACGCACCUGGUCUGUACACAGUGAUUCCUUGUUGCCAAACAGGAGACUCUCCGGCUGUGUUUUCCAGCAGCUUCCCAUGUCACCAUUUAAUUGAAAAGCGAAGCCCUGUUUGAGUCCAUGGCUGAUGACACUGGAGUUGCCGCUCAGACCAGACUGUUUCCCAUUACACUUCCCUGAAAGCAUCCCACCAGAAUCCCUCCUUUUGUAGUGUCGGGGUGGCAGUGGCCGAAUUCAAAGGGAGUGCUGCACAUAACAAAGCUAGCCUGGAAAGCUGACAUAAAAAAACCCAGAGCCCCUGAUGACUCAGGUAUUAAUGUACUCCACCAGAAUAAGCUGCUAUCUGAUAAAAUGUGCUCACUCCAGAUACAGAAGCAAGAGCUUUUAAUUUUACACAGCCUUUUUACUGGAUACUGACAGCACCAAGAAGAAACUGGGUUAAACGCAGAUACAUCUGCGGCAUGUCUAAUGUGCUGAGAAAUGUCUUAGAGCCAGGAGAAGCUCUGCUACCGUGGCAGACUUGGAGGAAUAAAUGCCGUAUCAUUUAGGAGCAACGGGAGAGAUCUGACAUCCCUGUUUUAUGGGUUGUCCUUAUGUUGGGACAGUGUCUUGAUGGAGUCUAUUAAGAAACUGGCCCAGAUGGAGCCAUUGACCUCCGCUACCCUGAUCCAGCCACUUUUCCUUCCUGCAGGCCCCUUCCCGCAGGCCCCUUCUGGCACUCAGUUGUGGCCCAGCUCAUUCUCAUCUCUGAAGGAAAAUGUGGGUAUUGCCCUGCAGGGUCAGAGCAGGCGCCCGUCUUGCCCUGCGUCUUGCCUCUAGCGAGGAUACAGCGUGUCAGGGGUGGCCCAUGAGUGCAGAGGUGGGCCAGUCAUCUGUCUUCUCUACAUAUGGAUCUGAUCCUGAGUUCUGACAGUUGGCAUUUGGUUGACAUGAAAAAAAAUAAUCUUCAAAAUUGUCGUAUGAGUUAAUUUUGAAAGCUGCUAAUGUUGCCCUAUAAAACUGCCAUCCCGUUCUGCAUCUUUCUAAGUUCUUGUCUUGAAAGGUUUCUUGUGGCAUUGAGCACCACGCUCCACUUACACAAGGCACAGAAACAUUUCUCCCGCUAUUGGCAUGAAAAAUUCAGGUUUAAUAUCCCUUCACAUCACUAAAGACAAGAAGAGCAGAAACUCUCCAUCUGCUUUCUCUGUGGUGUUCGUAAUUUUACAUAUUUCUUUUAUAGCUCUUGCUUCCUCCAAGGAGAGCUUUUCCUUGAUGUUUGGUUGUUCCUAUCACUGUUUAAUGCUGCUCUUUUAGAGACAAGAUUACCCACCACACUCGGGGUUCCUGGGGGACCUGCCCCUCUACUUACAUUUAAUCAUUAUUUUCCCUCAUAUUCCUUAUGGAUCCCAAUACCUUGUUCAUUUUUUUUACUUGCAGUACAAGCUGAGCAAGGGUUUUCUGUGAAGGUUUCUGAAAGCCAGCGGUACCAGGACCCUGCAAGUAAGGACCUUCUAGGCCACUACAGCAUCCCCUGAAAAACAGGAGCCCAGAUAUUACUGGAGAUAACCCAGCUUUUACAAUAGUUCGCUACUAGUCCUGCCACAAGCAGUAAUAUGCAUUUCCUUGCUUUUUAUUGUCUCUUGCACUCUCUCGCAUCUGGGAAAACAUCAAGCUACUUUGUUCUUUUUGCUGUUUAUUUUCUACAUCACAAAACCCACUGUUUCCCCUGUUUCUUUUCCAGGAAGGCUCCAUAAAAGACUCCUGAACCAGAGUGAGCAUAGGAAAAAUCCCCUGUCAUACUUCUGUUGUUUUUCAAGAAUGCCGAUUUAACUCGCAUAUCUGAAAAAGUAGCAGCAGAAAAAAUUUCCUGGCUAGAACUACUGGGGAUUGGAGUUGUUUACGCAGGAGACACUUUGCAGGACUAUGUCCCACAUGCACAGGAAUAAGGAUGUUUGUCAUUCUAUAUCACCAGGGCACUGUAACACACCGGCAGUGCUGAGUCACGUUCUCCUGCGAAGCCAGCGUGGCCCUUGGCAAUCAGUAGAGAGCAGAGAUAACUGAAACGCUAGUCAGAAGACUUACCGUAAAAGCAUACUUUACGGGCAGAAGUUGUGCUCGAAGAGGCAGGUAGACAACACAUCAAGUGAACUACGGUUGCCUGACUCACAGUUUCCUCCCCUAACUCUGCUGGUAAAGCCCUGGCAGUUCCUAUCUGCAGAGAACCAUCAGCACGUUCAGGCUGCAAAUACCAGAGUUCACAAGAUCAUGCUGCGUGUGCCCUGGGGAACUUUGUUAGGUUUAAACCAGCCUCUCUUCUCAAAGUCACGCGAAAUCACCCACUGAGUAUCCUACCAUCCAGGUGGCAAGAGAUAUCUCAGGUGGGACUGGCGUUGUCACUGCCACCGCGGUGUUCAGCCACAAGACGACAGCCAGCAAAGCAAGCCGCAGGAGGGAACCGCACAUCUGUCGCCCCUUCCUUCUGGUCCGCAAAUGUUACGUGGGAUUCGUUUAUUCUCCCCGAGGGGAACAGAGAGCUUUGCUGUUAAUACAAAAUGCAGCAGAACAGUAACAACAUUUAACUCUGAGAUAACAUCAAUGAAGUGUAAGGUAGAAAAUCAAACAAUUUGUUACUUUCCCUGUGCGAGCAGACAAGACGCCUCUCUUCAUCACAACCAAAAAAUAUUAAAGGCCGUGGAAGGGCGUGUGGCUGAAAAAGGCACUCUGAGGGUAUGGCUUUCCCCUGUGUCUCUGGCACAAUUAAUCACUGGGGAUUUGAAUGUACCUCUCUGGUGAAAGAGAAACACAGACCUGAGGGUUUCAGCCAGAUCAGUCCUUCCUGGGCAAAUGUCAACUGAGGGGUAAAUCCAACGCUAGCUACAUAAAGGUCAUUUCAUGCUGAGUGAGUGAUGCAAAAUUUCUUUUUAAAGCAGCUCUGAGCGAUCGACUAAGAUUAACCUGGCAGAACGUCCCCCUGACUUGGGUGAAGAUGCUUCAAGAUCGGCGAUCUGAACCUCACCAGCUGGACACUGAGGUCAGUCCCGCACAGCUGGACUUGGCUCUGGCUUAGUUUGCAGACCAGGACCAGACACAUGGCAGUGGUGAGUGCAUUGGCCCAUGAUUCAGCCAAGGGAGGCACAGAAAACGGUAUCCAUGCUGCAGCACUCACUUUCAGCCUCGGGUUGACCCAUAGGGCUGGAAAGGGGAAACCUGGUUUACCACCAAGGCUGUGGGAAGGGCUUUCCCUUCAAAAACAGCAGCUGUAGUUAAUAACCACCCACAGCUGCUCCUCUGCUGGGGAUUCCCUUUCUUUUUGCCUUUCCCCUCCCUUCCCAUCUGUCUCUCUGCCAGUGGAAAGUGGUUAUGUAGAUACUCCCAGGUCCCUUUCCAGAAAGUCAGACUACUGAAAGCAAACAAUGAACACGGUGUCCCUGCCCAUGACAAGGGGGCCAGAACUAGAUGAUCUUUAAAGGUCCCUUCCAACCCAAACCAUGCGGUGAUGUGGGCAAACCCAAACUUUCCAUCUCACUUGUGAGCGCUUGCAGGAGCCGUGGGGACAUCCUCAGCCAGCUGGCAGCAGUGACGAGGCAGGAAGGCAGGAAUGCCAUCCUCAACCCACACAGCUGAGGACGUUAAUCUGAGACAACAGUGAGUAACACAAAGCAGAACUGCAAUGGAGGACAGGGCUAACACGGCCUCUGUCCCUCCCACUGCCUCUCUGAUUUCAUUGACUUUAUGCACGUGAGUAAAUUCUGCAAACUCAGUCUUUCUGCAGUCUGGAUCUAUACACAGUGAUCAGUUUUACGUUAUGCUUGUGAUCUCUCACUUCAUUGCAACUGUGUCAUGUUUUAGGGAUUAGAAGACAGACAGACUCCAACUAAUGUGACCCCAAGUAAGAAGAAAAAAAAACCCAAACCCUUCACAUUUUCCCUACGAGGAGCACCUCACGUGUGCCUGUAGUCUGAACAUGGCUGAGGCUGUUAGGGACAAGGAGAUUUCUGCCAGGCAGUGCAAAAGAUGCUAUGAAAAUAUUGUGAGUGACGUUUGCAGGUUGCUGUAGAGAAAUUCCCACUGGCUUCCUAACAAGCAUUUAAUAUUUAGCACAGGGUUUUUUACUGCUUUUGCUGUUCUAGCUUCCAAUAAAGCCUGUUUGAUCUGA